rnacentral:tRNA from 1 species
GGUGUAGCUGAGUGGUAGAGCACUUGCCUAGUAUGCAUGAGGCCCUGGGUUUGAGCCCCAGCACC